rnacentral:rRNA from 1 species
AGCAGUCGCCACGGGAAUACGUAGGUGGCAAGCGUUGUCCGGAAUUAUUGGGCGUAAAGGGCUCGCAGGCGGUUUCUUAAGUCUGAUGUGAAAGCCCCCGGCUCAACCGGGGAGGGUCAUUGGAAACUGGGAAACUUGAGUGCAGAAGAGGAGAGUGGAAUUCCACGUGUAGCGGUGAAAUGCGUAGAGAUGUGGAGGAACACCAGUGGCGAAGGCGACUCUCUGGUCUGUAACUGACGCUGAGGAGCGAAAGCGUGGGGAGCGAACAGGAUUAGAUACCCCUGUAGUCCCUGUCUCUUAUAC